rnacentral:rRNA from 1 species
ACGGAGGGGGCGAGCGUUAUUCGGAAUUAUUGGGCGUAAAGGGCGCGUAGGCGGUUCGAUAAGUCAAAGGUGAAAUCCCUCGGCUCAACUGAGGAACUGCCUUUGAAACUGUCGAGCUUGAGUCCGGGAGGGGGUAGCGGAAUUCCCAGUGUAGCGGUGAAAUGCGUAGAUACUGGGAGGAACACCGGUGGCGAAGGCGGCUACCUGGACCGGAACUGACGCUGAUGCGCGAAAGCGUGGGUAGCAAACAGGA